GGCAGCAGCUAAGAAUAUUCCGCAAUGGGGGAAACCCUGACGGAGCGACGCCGCGUGGAUGAUGAAGGCCGGAAGGUUGUAAAAUCCUUUUAGAUAUGAGGAAUAAGCAGGGUGAGAGAAACGCCCUGUGGUGACUGUAGUAUCAGAAUAAGGGGCGGCUAAUUACGUGCCAGCAGCCGCGGUAACACGUAAGCCCCGAGCGUUGUUCGGAAUUAUUGGGCGUAAAGGGCAUGUAGGCGGCUUUGCAAGUCUGGUGUGAAAGGCAGGAGCUUAACUCCUGGACUGCGCUGGAAACUGCAUGGCUUGAGUCACUGAGGGGCAUCCGGAAUUCCUGGUGUAGGGGUGAAAUCUGUAGAUAUCAGGAAGAACACCGAUGGCGAAGGCAGGGUGCCAGCGGAUGACUGACGCUGAGGUGCGAAGGUGCGGGGAGCAAACAGGAUUAGAUACCCUGGUAGUCCGCACAGUCAACGAUGUACACUGGGUGUCCGUUCAUGAGAAUGGGUGCCGAAGCAAACGCGAUAAGUGUACCGCCUGGGGAGUAUGCCCGCAAGGGUGAAACUCAAGGAAUUGACGG
rnacentral:rRNA from 1 species